GACGAACGCUGGCGGCGUGCCUAAUACAUGCAAGUAGAACGCUGAAGGAGGAGCUUGCUUCUCCGGAUGAGUUGCGAACGGGUGAGUAACGCGUAGGUAACCUGCCUGGUAGCGGGGGAUAACUAUUGGAAACGAUAGCUAAUACCGCAUAACAGUAGAUAUUGCAUGAUAUCUGCUUGAAAGGUGCAAUUGCAUCACUACCAGAUGGACCUGCGUUGUAUUAGCUAGUUGGUGGGGUAACGGCUCACCAAGGCGACGAUACAUAGCCGACCUGAGAGGGGGAUCCGCCACAAUGGGAAUGAGACCAGGCCCAGACUCCUACGGGAGGCAGCAGUAGGGAAUCUUCGGGAAUGGACGGAAGUCUGAACGAGCAACGCCGCGUGAGUGAAGAAGGUUUUCGGAUCGUAAAGCUCUGUUGUAAGAGAAGAAAGAGUGUGGGAGUGGACAGUUCACACUGUGACGGUAUCUUACCAGAAAGGGACGGCUAACUACGUG
rnacentral:rRNA from 1 species